AGGUUGUUCCCUGGUUCCCAUUUGUCAUCAGCAACGCAAAGGAAAAACAAUGCUCCAUGGAAACCAGUUCUCCUCGCAUCGGGCAAACAGCGGCAGUUCCGAGCAGAAGUGAUCCAUACAAAAGCAUAUCCGAACUAGCGCAGUGAUUUAUCAAGAAUGAAAACGGGACGUUACCCUGUAAAACAGGUUUGCUAGCAGAUCAGAAGUGACCAGAAAACAUCCUGUGGCUGUGGCAAAGAGAAGUAGCCACCCUCUUAACACUGACCUUCAAGUCUGAGCUGAAACUGCAGAGCCGGAGCAAAGGAUCCUUUCUGCAUGCUGCAGCGUCCCUAAGCAGACUCUGGGCAGUUGAGAAGGAGACCCGGCCGUUCCCCAAGACCUCUCUGCAGGGACUGAUAACCAGUACCCCAGGCACACAGGAGACAUGGACCCUGGCCUCUUCAUUUCAGGGGAGCCAAGACCAGAAGACCAGCAGAAGACCACCAUUAAUACCCUA